rnacentral:rRNA from 1 species
UGGGGAAUCUUGCGCAAUGGGCGAAAGCCUGACGCAGCAACGCCGCGUGGGGGAAGAAGGCUUUCGGGUUGUAAACCUCUUUCAGGGGGGACGAAGCCACCGGGGUUAAUAGCCCACGGGGUGACGGUACCCCCAGAAGAAGCCCCGGCUAACUACGUGCCAGCAGCCGCGGUAAUACGUAGGGGGCAAGCGUUGUCCGGAAUCAUUGGGCGUAAAGCGCGUGUAGGUGGCUUGGUAAGUCCGGUGUGAAACCUUGGGGCUCAACCCCAAGCCUGCAUCGGAUACUGCCUCGCUCGAGUUCGGGAGGGGAGAGCGGAAUUCCUAGUGUAGCGGUGAAAUGCGCAGAUAUUAGGAAGAACACCGGUGGCGAAGGCGGCUCUCUGGAACGAUACUGACACUGAGACGCGAAAGCGUGGGUAGCGAACAGGAUUAGAUACCCUAGUAGUCCCUGAGCGGGCUGGCAAGGCGCAU